rnacentral:rRNA from 1 species
AAUGGGCGAAAGCCUGAUCCAGCAAUGCCGCGUGUGUGAAGAAGGCCUUAGGGUUGUAAAGCACUUUCAGUAAUGAAGAAGUAAUAAAUGCUAAUAUCAUUUAUUAUUGACGUUAGUUACAGAAGAAGUACUGGCUAACUCUGUGCCAGCAGCCGCGGUAAUACAGAGAGUGCAAGCGUUAAUCGGAAUUAUUGGGCGUAAAGGGUGUGUAGGUGGUUAAAAUAGUUAAAUGUGAAAUCCCAAAGCUUAACUUUGGAACUGCGUUUAAUACUUUUUGACUAGAGUAUUGUAGGGGAAAGUAGAAUUUUCGGUGUAGCGGUGAAAUGCGUAGAUAUCGAAAGGAAUACCAGAGGCGAAGGCGACUUUCUGGGCAAAUACUGACACUGAAACACGAAAGCGUGGGGAGCAAA